UACGUAGGGUGCAAGCGUUAAUCGGAAUUACUGGGCGUAAAGCGUGCGCAGGCGGUUUUGUAAGUUUGUCGUGAAAGCCCCGGGCUCAACCUGGGAAUUGCGAUGAAGACUGCAAGGCUUGAAUCUGGCAGAGGGGGGUAGAAUUCCACGUGUAGCAGUGAAAUUGCGUAGAGAUGUGGAGGAACACCGAUGGCGAAGGCAGCCCCCUGGGUCAAGAUUGACGCUCAUGCACGAAAGCGUGGGGAGCAAACAGG
rnacentral:rRNA from 1 species